GAUGAACGCUGGCGGCGUGGAUAAGGCAUGCAAGUCGAACGGACUUUUCAUUUUCGAUGAUGCGAUUAUAUCAAGUCAAAGGUCGUGAAAAGUUAGUGGCGAACGAGGUAGUAAUACAUAGGAACUUCCCCCAGAGUCGUGAAUAAUCCGUCGAAAGACGGACUAAUACACGAUGGUCUCGCAAGAGUAAAGUUUUAACGCUCUGGGAAAGGCCUGUGCGAUAUCAGCUAGUUGGUAGUGUAAUGGACUACCAAGGCUAUGACGUCUAGGGGAGCUGAGAGGCUGACCCCCACCGAUGGUACUGAGACACGGACCAUACACCUACGGGUGGCUGCAGUCGAGAAUCUUCCGCAAUGGACGAAAGUCUGACGGAGCGACGCCGCGUGAUUGAUGAAGUCCCUCUGGGACGUAAAGAUCUUUUAUGAGGGAAGAAGUUUAUUGACUGUACCUCAUGAAUAAGAGGCUCCUAAUCUCGUGCCAGCAGGAGCGGUAAUACGAGAGCCUCGAGCGUUAUCCGGAAUUAUUGGGCGUAAAGGGUGCGUAGGUUGUUCUGUUAGUCUUUUGUCAAAGCCCCGAGCUUAACUUGGGAUAUGCGAAAGAAACGGCAGAACUUGAAAGUGCGAGAGGUGUGCGGAACUCNAUGGUGUANGGGUGAAAUCCGUUGAUAUCAUGGGGAACACCAAAUGCGAAGGCAGCACACUGGCGCAUAUUUGACACUGAAGCACGAAAGCGUGGGUAGCGAAUGGGAUUAGAUACCCCAGUAGUCCACGCCCUAAACGAUGAUCUCUCGC
rnacentral:rRNA from 1 species